CAAUUUGACGGUCCCAUCUGAAAUUUGCCAAAACAAAAUCAAAAUUUCAGAUGGGACCUUUGGUCGCACAUUAACAAUUUUUUGUUUUCUCUAUUAAAAGUAUGUUUUGUAACUAAAAUUAAAUGAAGAUAACACUCAAGAGUCGCCAAGAGCAAGCUAGUCCGCUAAUCAAUCAAGUUAGCUGGCGGAACUUUGAUUAUAAUAUAUUAUCUUGGCGGAGCUCUUUAUCAUCGGAUUCCUGACCAAGCACGACAUCGAUCCCAACACAAACAAGAGGGGUUACUUUCGUUUGUGAACUGCCAGUUAAUGAAGGAAAUGACUUCAGUGGAAUCUUUGAUUGCGAAUCGCAUAUCCUACUGCUGCCAACCUCCCAUACGGCAGAUCCCAGGCAACCCAAAUCCCCACGCUAGCCGACGCUGUGCUCUUUCGUUAUUAAGAUCACAUCCCAUGGAUUAUUUGCUUAGGCUGGGCCAGUCGACUGUGCAAGCGCAUCGAAAAGGAAUUAGUGAUCAACAAUCAACUAAUGUCGAAUUCGUUUUUAAACCUGGGUCAGUGCCAACCCGAACCCUGAAUAAAAAAACAUUUUCAGUUCCAUCUGUCAUUGGAUAUGUUGGUGUGCGUAGCAUCGUGUUUGUUUUGAUUCGAAACAUAUGAUCCAGGACAUCCAGUGCACUGGCAGUGCGUUGGCCUUGACUAAUCAGAUCAUGAUAAAUAUAUGGAUAUGGUUGAUAUAAAUAGGGAAACUGCUCCUGUAAGUCAUCUCAUAGCUCGGAUAUUCAUCCCAUCGAAAACAAAGCAAUGGAAAGGAAUUUGGAUUGUUUAUUAUUUUUGUGAUUUCUCUCAGCAGUGAGCACGCAUGUUGACAAAAAGAGGCGACGAGAUUGGUGCUGCAUGUCUUUGUUUCUCGAUGCGAUGAAUAUAUGUUCAGUGAGAUGGAGAUCGGAACAGUUCCCCUAUUUAAUUAUAUUCAAUAAUCCCGUGCACAUUUUUAUACCAAGAAUUCCGUAUAGAAUUCAUUUAAAAGAGAUUUUAAAUUUUACAAAAAUUCAUCUACAGUCACUCUCAAAAUUGAGCGUACAGUAUAGAUUAGUUGACUGCAUUUGAAAAUUUCAAAGGAAAUUAAAUGGUUGGCUCGGUUGUUUUUAAUGCAUUUCAAUAUUCAUCCCUUCCUCCAAUGUAUGCGUACAUAAAAUUGUUGAAAUUUUUUCUCUAAAGUUUAUUUAUUUGAAAAUAAACUCAAAAUACGCCUAUUAGAUGUGACAAAAUUGAGCGUACAGCUAAUGUUUUUCUAUAAAAUUUCUUAUUAUAAACACGAUUAAUGUAUUUUAAUAUUGUUUUUUCAUUAUUAUAUUUAUAAUAAUAA